rnacentral:tmRNA from 1 species
GGGGGUGUUUCUGGCUUCGACGCUGGUGAUGAAACUCAUAGAUGCAUGUCGAGAGCGCAUUUUCUCUCGUAAAUCAAAUUUGCAUUUUUUAGUCGCAAACGACGAAUCAUACGCUCUAGCUGC